rnacentral:rRNA from 1 species
UACGUAAGGAGCGAACGUUAUCCGGAUUUACUGGGUAUAAAGGGCGCGUAGGCGGUUUUGUAAGUUGUGUGUUAAAUACUCAGGCUCAACCUGAGAAAUGCAUGCAAAACUACAUAACUAGAGUUAGAUAGAAGAGAGUGGAAUUCUCGGUGUAGGGGUGAAAUCCGUAGAUAUCGAGAGGAACACCAGAGGCGAAAGCGACUCUCUAGGUCUAUACUGACGCUGAGGCGCGAAAGCGUGGGGAGCAAACAGG